rnacentral:lncRNA from 1 species
UGAAGAGUGGUCUGGGAGGGUUUGGCAGGGAGCUCUGGGGAGCCUUGGCUCUUUCCUCCUCGGUGAGCUGGGUUCCCAGAGAGGUCCUGGCAGCCUCCUGCACGGGGAAAGGAGGGCUGGCCCGCCCUGGAAGCUGGGCAUUCCUGUUCAGUCAGAGUGUUUCAUUUAAAUGGUAAAGAGAUUUUUUGAGCCCUCCUACAGUCCUAGGGUCCUCCUUUCUUUAUGACUCCUUUUCCAAUGCUCCUAGGGAAAUCACUGCGCACUUCAGAGGAGAAGAGACCCAGCAGUUUGAUUAAGCUCUGCGGUCUGUCCUGGUUCUGCUUUCCCACCCACCCCCGGGGUGCUGACAUCGCACCUCCACGCUCAGUGCAGACGCCCUUUACAUGUGCUUCUUUGGAUGCUGAGACCAAGCCCAGGUUCACACUGCUCUGGGUCCACGGAGGAGUAAGAGUCAUGAAGAGGCCACUUGGCCAAAGCCUGGCCCUGGCCUUCUCCAGGCAGAUGGGGACCCAAGGUGCUUGGCAUUUGGCCUCUCCUCUGGGGCAGGGGCAUGCUGCACCCACAACAAGCAAGGGCAGGUGACCAGGGCACUGGUACCUGGGCAGGGAGGCCUUAGGGGGUGGCCUCACAGCAGGAGGGGGGAGGUCUGGGCCUCAGUGUGUGUUUGCUUGGGGUCGCAGUGUCUGGUUGAGCUCUUUGACGAUCUCCCGAGUCCUCCCAACAGUAUGUGGGCCAGGGAGACAGAACUGUUUAGGGGUUGAACACCUGUGAUUGUGGAUGGG